rnacentral:rRNA from 1 species
UACGUAGGGUGCAAGCGUUAAUCGGAAUUACUGGGCGUAAAGCGUGCGCAGGCGGUUUUGUAAGUCUGUCGUGAAAGCCCCGGGCUUAACCUGGGAAUUGCGAUGGAGACUGCAAGGCUUGAAUCUGGCAGAGGGGGGUAGAAUUCCACGUGUAGCAGUGAAAUGCGUAGAGAUGUGGAGGAACACCGAUGGCGAAGGCAGCCCCCCUGGGUCAAGAUUGACGCUCAUGCACGAAAGCGUGGGGAGCAAACAGG